rnacentral:lncRNA from 1 species
UUUUUUUUUUUUUUUUUUUUUUUUUUUUUUNCUUUUCUAGGGCUGCACCCAUGGCAUAUGGAGGUUCCCAGGCUAGGGGUCCAAUCCGAGCUGCAGCCACCAGCUAUGCCAGAGCCACAGCAAUGUGGGAUCCGACCCGCAUCUGCAACCUACACCACAGCUCACGGCAAUGCCAGAUCCCAGCCCACUGAGCGAGGCCAGGGAUCGAACCCACAGCCUCAUGGUUCCUAGUGGGAUUUGUUAACAACUUAAAACCGUAUUGCUCUCUGUAGGUAAAGUGCCCUUUUUUUUCUGGCUGCUUUUAGGUUUUUCUCUUUAUCUUUGUUUUUAGUGGUUUGACUGUUCUGAGAAUACUUAUGGUCUUCACUUUAUUUAUCAUGCUUGGAGUUUACUGAGCUGUUGAACCUGUGGGUUGAUAGAGUCCAUCAGUUUUAAAAAAUUAUCGCUUUACAUAUGACUUUUCCUCUACUAUCACUUGUCUCUUUCUGACACUCCAGUUUUAAAUAUAUUUUACUAUUUGUGACCCAUGUACUUUUUAUUUUCUUCCCUGUCCACUCCCCCCCAGCCUUCUUUCUGUGCUUCAGUUUGGAUAUUUUCUAUUGACCUAUCUUGAGGUUCCUCAAGCCUGUCUUCUACCACGUCCAGUUUUCCAUUUAACCCAUCCAAUUAGUGGAUUUUUGCCUUUUUUAGUUUUAGAACAUCCAGUUAAAUUUUAUAUAUUUAUUUCAUUUCUCUGUUGAAUGUCUUUUCUGUUUUAAAAAGUAUAGCUAGUGAGUAUUUGAAUUUUUUUUUUUUUGUCUUUUUGUCUUUUGUCUUUUUGUUGUUGUUGUUGUUGUUGCUAUUUCUUGGGCCGCUCCCGUGGCAUAUGGAGGUUCCCAGGCUAGGGGUCCAAUCAGAGCUGUAGCCACCAGCCUACGCCAGAGCCACAGCAACUCGGGAUCCGAGCUGCGUCUGCAACCUACACCACAGCUCACGGCAACGCCGGAUCGUUAACCCACUGAGCAAGGGGAGGGGCCGAACCCGCAACCUCAUGGUUCCUAGUCAGAUUCGUUAACCACUGCGCCACAACGGGAACUCCUGAAUUUUAUAUAACUAAUUUUAACAUCUGCAACAUCCGUGGAUCUGAUUCUGUUGCCUGAUUCUUUUUUUUUUUUUUUUUUUUUCCCCCUCAAUCAGCAGUCACAUUUAUCCUGGUCAUACUUCUUUCUCUCAUUGUAUAGGACUUUUAAUUUUUUUUUUUUCUCUUAAUACAGGAGAAUGUGUAUAGAAGAACUGAAGGACUGGAGUUGAUGUAAUUCCCCACUCCCCUCCCCCCAGGAGAGAAUGUGCCUUGUUUUUUGUUAGGUAUUUCAGAGCAGGAUUACCUCAAUCCGUGGAGCUGGGCUUGAACUGCAGGUUUUGUUAGGUUCAGAAGUCUUCAGACUAAGACUUGUAUUACGUGUAGGGCCUUUCCCUUUAGCAUAGCAAGACUGCGGAUUUCAUUCAGCUUUUUUCUCCAGCUAGCCUCUCAGUAGGAAGGCUGUUUUACAGAGUAUAGUCAUAGAAGGUUCUCUGAGGAGGUGACAUCUGAUCAUAGACUUUCAUUAAGUGAGGGAUCCAGCUGCAUGAGGGGAAAGAUUAUAGGCAGAGGGAAGAUGUAAGUACAGAAGUCCUUAGGGAAGAAUGAGUCCAUCAGGUAUUUCAAGAAGGCAAUGUUUCUGGAGUGAAAGCAACCAGAGUAGGAGAGAAAGUCAGAAGAUAGCAGAGCCAGAUCAUGCCUGUAUGCUUCUCAAGUGUUUUUUCCAAAGUUUGAUGGGAAUCCAUUGUAGGACUUAAGUAGAAGAGUAGCAUGAUCUGGGCCUUUUUUUAAAAAAUUAUUUUUUAAUUAAAAAAAUUCUUUGGACCCCACACGUCUAAAACUGAGUACAUAACCUUUCCUUCCUGUUUCUGCUCAUUUUCAUAUCUCUGAAAAUAGAACUAUCAUUUAGCUAGUAAUAUAAAUCAGCAAUCUAGAAAUUGCUUCCAACUCCUCCUCUUUCUUAGAAUCAUAACCAGUCUGUCGUCAAGUCCUCUUGACUUUACCUUCUGAUUAUCCCUGGAAUUUUUCUAAUAUUUUCACCAUUGCAUCUUCUUUAAGUUCUCAUUUCUUUGCAUCCAAACUCAUCUGCUCAUGUUUACUCUUGCCUGACCUCAAAUUCAUUUUCACAGUGUAGCCAGACUAUUGUGAAAUACAGUGAUCCCAUCAGCAGCAGCAACAGCAAACCCUACAUACAAACCCUUUAACACUUCACCAUUGCGUUUAGCAUGUGACCUACAGAGCUCUGCAUCUUUGGUCACUCCUGUCUAGCCAGUCUUUUCUUCUUAGUCUGUGUCAGCUGCACCAUUCUUUCAGUCCCCGUGUACCUGAUUGCCAGAGGCACAAGCUAUUAGGGUGCAUUUAAAGGUAUAUAGACAUCCAAAAGAUAAAGCAAAAGUCUAUUCUUUCUGCAUGGAGCAUUCUUCCUUUUUUCUGCUAUAUCUAGUUGUUUCCUAUUCACACUACAAGUAAGGAUUUUCCCUAAGGAAGCCUUUAUAGAUUUCUCUGAUCAGGGCAAACCCCGCUGUUCUGUGUCCUCUUAGCUUACUUCUUAUAGAGCUUAGCACAGUUGGCAUUUGGGGUAUCCGAUUAAUGCCUAUCCCACUAUGUCCAACAUUGUAAACUGCAUGAAGACAGAAUUGGUCUUUUUGUUUACUAGUUUGGCUCUAGCACUCAUCACAGUGCCUAGUGCAGUUAGUACUCAAAACUGUUGAAUAAAUCUAAACUUUACAGCCUUAAAAUGUAGAUGAAUAACAGACAUUAAAAAUUGUUCGAUUUAAGAUGAAGGAAUCUGAUCAUGUGUUGUGCCAGAUAACCUUACUAAAAGCUUCACAAAAUACUGUCAUCUCAUGCAGUCCUCACUGUAGUGAUUGAUGGUAGGUCCUUUAACAAAUGAGGGAAUUGAGGGUCACAGAUUGUGGUUUCCUUGAGAUUCCUCUUCUCUGAAGUGAUGACUUAGGAGUUGAUCACAUCUGUUUUACUCCAAAGCUGUGCCCUUUCUCUACUACCUCAAAUAUUAGUCAUCAAACUGACAUUGAUGGAAUAAAUAUUAAUAAAUCCUGAAGAAGUAUUGACGUAAUUCUCAAGUUGUGUUGGCAUCUCCUAGUCAAGGCAAUCACAUAAUAUUAGCCACAUUUUAUGGGAUACUCUGUUACUUGUUUGCCUACAUUGUAAGAAAUGAGUCCUAUCGACAUUUUACAGUGUUGCCCAGAGGUCAAAGAGGAGAGCCAGUCAGAGUUGAUGGUCUGAAAUAAUGCUUAUGCCAUUGAUUUGGACCGGAAUUCAAAUAGUUUACUUAAACCAACACUGCUUUCUAUUUAUGCUUCAGACCGAGAUCUUAGAAAGCAAUGGUUGAAAAUGUAAUUUCAUUUCCUUUACAUAAUUUACAUUCUUGAGUGGAUGAGUAACUAGGUUCACUAGUCUGCAUUAUGCCUCUUGAGUGCCUGUAGUUAUGCGUAAGAAUCCCAGAGAGAUGAUAAUACCAUUAGCCCCUUCAAGGUGGUGUGUGAAUGUUUCAAGGUUAGGUGUGUACCAGAUAUGCUCAUUUGGGAGCAAAAGAAGAAAGCUGGGGCUCUAUUAGGCCUUUAAACAUGACAGCUUUAGAAGGGUGUGUAAUACAGUUGAAAGGACUAUGAACAGGGAAUUCCGUUAGUUAACUCUAAGAUUAGCUUAGCUUAGUAGUUUGCUCUGAAGAAGCAAUUACCUUGUCCUCGAGCUUCAAAGUGUUCAUAACUAGUAAUUGUUAGAACUGAGUUCUGUAGUUCUGUUACUCAGGUAAGCAAGACAACAUUCACGUUAAGUAACAGUCAGUUGAACAUCUUUUCUGAUGUAAAACCUCACACAGGUACUUCCUAAAUACUUUCCCAUAGAAAGGAGGUAGAGGAGUUCCCGUUGUGGCUUAGACCAACAUCGUGUCUGUGAGCUGGCAGGUUUGAUCCCUGGCCUCACUCAGUGGGUUAAGGAACUGGUGUUGCCGCAAGCUGCAGCAUAGACCCCAGCUGCAGCUCUGAUUCAACUCCUAGCCGGGCAACUUCCAUAUGCCAUAGGUACAGCCUUAGAAAUAGAAAUAAAAUAAAAAAGAAAGGAGCUAGAAACAACAUAGGCAUUCAGGGCAAAACACAAAAAUCAUCUUUUGGUUCACUAGAUCAGGAUUUCAGGUCUAAGUUUCUCACUCGUAUAUACCUGUAUGUCCUCUGUUUUAUCCAAGUGGGACCAUACUGUACCUUUCUACAACCUUUUCCUCUACUUAAUGUUUUUAUAAAGCUGUCAGCACAUGUUGGUUUAUCUUACCCUAUUAGUAAUUGUGUAAGAUUCAUUGUAUAGAUAUGCCAUGAUUUAUUUAAUCACGCUUCUAUUUAGAUGGGCAUUUGGGGUAUUUACAUUUUUCACUGUUACAAACAGUACAGUAAAAUGAUCUUUCCUAUGUAUUUCUUUGUGCUGAAGUGCCAGAUUUCCUAUAAGAAAUAGUUUCUAGGCAGAGAAUCGUGGAGUUCCCUUUGAUUCUGCCAAAUGACUUUCCCAAAAGUCUACCAAUCAGUACUGCUUUUAAUUUCUGUCAGUCCUGCGGUUAUAAAAUUACUUUGUUUUCAUUUGCAUUUUGCCAGUUACAAAUGAAACAUUUUUCCUUUUGAUUGGUUCUUUCUACUUGUUCAUAUUCUUUCCCAUUUUUCUAUUUACCUCCUUGUCUUUUUAGUAUUGUGGUUAUCUCCGGGUGAAAAAGGAGGAGGUAGGCCUGGGUUAGAGACUUUAUCCACACCCUGAUACAUUUUGUUACAAAAAAGAAAAAGGUACUGCAAUUUUGGACUAGCAUAUAUGCUACCAGUGAGUUUGCCACCCUUCCAUGAGCUCUCUAUGUAUUCUCACGUUAUUCACCUGCCUGUUAAAUAUAUGCGAGAUAUCCGCUAGUGAGUCCCUUAUCUUUAAGUUUGUUUUAAAUGGUGUCUUCUGUCACAUAGUACAGGAGUUCUUCCUCUUUGUGAGAUUAUAGCUGUCAGUAUUUUUCAUUGUGGCCUCUGAGUUUUGUGCUUACUACAAGAUUUUGAAAAUAUUUUCUUCUUCUAACACAUAUUCUAAUACAUGUACUUGUUUUUAAACAUUAGAUCAUUUAAUCCAUCGGGGUAUUACUUUUGUCUGUUGUGCAUAAUUGUGGUCCAACUCAAUUUUGUCCUAAGUGUAUACUUACUUUUCUUAACACAGUUUAUUGUAUGGUUUGUUUUAUAACCACUGGUUUGAAUUGCCGUAUAUUAUCAUGAAGUAAAGAUCUUUAUCUCCUU